AGUUCUCUCUACUGCUAUCAUAAAAGUGUAUCAGAGUUAUCUUACAAAACAGUGUAGCGUUUAAGAACUGCAAAUACUGUGACUGAACUGUAAAUGCGAAAAAAUUCGGAGAAGUCGCUCGCGCGGGAAGAGAUGUUAACAUUCAACAUGGCGAGUGGAGCUAGUUUUCAUAUUCAGCAGCUAAAGGAUUCUUCACACUCUUCUGUUGAGAUGACCAGAGCGGCUGUGCUUCGGUGCCUGAUAGAAUACCUCGGAGAAAGUGGGUAACAUCUGAUCACAGAAUUCAAUGACACAGAGGACUUGGAGGAACUUGAGCACCUUGUGGUGGCGAUCACUGUGAUCACCAAGACUGGACAUUCCACAAGUGACAACACAAAGGAAAUCGGAGUCAUCGUUGAGGGCACGGAAGUUAUCACAGCACUUGGAGACAUAGCCAGAGCUUGCUGUCUCCUGUUUGGCUUGACCUACACACUGAACCUCAAUUCCCAUGCAGCUUAAGUACACCUUUGAGGUAUUCCAAAAACUUUUUAUGGAACUGGAUGUGUCAAAGCUGUCAAAUAAAGUCCAGUCCUUCAAGAGCAAACUUCUGGCUUGAAAUAAGGCUGGAUCUACAGAGCAUACUGUUGUGCCACACCUUGGUCAGCUCCUGCAGAUCCUGAGAACUGGACUGAUCUGGACUGUAGUGAUCUGGACACUGUUGAAAUAGCCUACAAGUGCAAAAUUUUUUGUUUUCUAGCGCUGCUAGAGGGUGUUUCUUAAACCUCAGGCAAAAUGUUUUCAAGUCACAAAGUGUCCUUAAAUGGUAUCUUUUUUUUUAACUUGAUGCUUCUGUCUGAUUCAAUGUUCAGCAUCCACAGAUUUUAAGAAUAGCACAUUUGACAGUAAUACGUUUUUUAGGGGUAGUGAAAUUGCUGCUGUGUUUAGUUCAAGGUAAAAGUAGUUACAUAUCAAAGGACUUAUGCUGUUUGAAUUGAAAUUGAAUUGUGUACCUUUUUAAUAAAGUUGAUCAAAAUGUUA